UCACAUAAUUACACAAACUUAGACUUUUAUUGUAAAAGAACUCACACAGGAAGUAUAUCAUUACUGCAACCUUCACACUGCUUUUAAAUCUCUGCUUUAUGCUGUUUAUGGCUAUAGGUGUCUAGUUUUUUAACACCAUAAAUUGAACCCUUUGCUAAAUUCAUGUCUCGUUUUAAAAGAGGAGUAAAAGUGGAUUCCAGAUCAGGAUUUAAGCAGGAAAUAGAAAAAUGUCCCGUACCAUAUGGAUUACUGAAGUCUGCCAGAAAAAGCGGGCAGCUCAAUCUUUCUGGGCGCGGUCUAACUGAAGUUCCCCAGAGCGUAUGGAGGCUGAACAUAGACACUCCAGAGGAAGCCCAGCAAAAUGUGUCUUUCGCAGCUACAGACAGAUGGUGGGAGCAAACAGAUUUAACCAAGCUUCUACUCUCCUCCAACAAGCUCGAGACCCUCUCUCAAGAUGUUAAACUUUUACCUGCAUUGGUUGUUUUAGAUAUUCAUGACAACCAACUCAGAACACUACCAGCAUCAAUUGGCGAAUUGGAGCAAUUGCAGAAGCUCAUCCUGAGUCAUAAUAAGCUGACAGAAUUGCCUUUGGAGAUUUGGAAGCUGAUAAACCUGCGAUGUCUCCAUCUGCAGCAAAAUCUGCUCGAACAAUUGCCAGAAGACUUAGGGCAACUAUGUCACUUGGAGGACCUUGAUCUCUCCAACAACAAAUUAAUCGCAGUACCAGGCAGCCUGGCAAACCUCAACAACCUUGUUAAACUUGAUCUGUCCUUCAACAAUUUGAAGAGCCUGCCGCCUGCAAUCAGUAAGAUGAAGAACUUGAGAAUGUUGGACUGCUCUUGCAAUCACUUGGAGAGUGUGCCACCCGUACUGGCACAGAUGGCUUUUCUUGAGCAGCUGUACUUGAGGCACAACAAGCUGCGCUUCCUCCCUGAGCUGCCCUCCUGCAAGACACUGAAGGAGCUACAUUGUGGUAAUAAUCAGAUCGAGGUGUUGGAGGCAGAGCAUCUUAAACACUUAAGUUCUCUGAGUGUCCUGGAGCUCAGAGAUAACAAGGUGAAGAGUCUUCCAGAGGAAAUAACUCUACUGCAAGGCCUGGAGCGCCUGGAUCUUACAAACAAUGACAUCACCAGUGUGCCUUGUGGUCUUGGCACCCUGCCAAAACUGAAAUCUUUGGCUCUGGAGGGCAACCCUCUGAGGACGAUUCGCAGAGAACUCCUCACUAAAGGUACCAGUGAGCUCUUAAAAUUUCUCCGAAGUCGGAUACAAGAGCAGCCAGAUGACAAUCCCAAAGAGGAGCCCAAGACAGCGAUGACUCUUCCUAGCCAGGCCAAGAUUAACAUGCAUGCCAUCAAAACACUGAAGACGUUAGACUACAGUGAAAAACAAGAAGCAUGUAUACCUGAUGAAGUGUUUGAUGCAGUCAGUGACAGUGUUGUUGUCAAUGUGAACUUCAGCAAGAAUCAGCUGACUGCUGUACCACUCAGGAUUGUGGAGCUGAAAAACACACUAUCAGAUAUCAACCUUGGAUUUAAUAAAAUGUCCAUGAUUUCUCUAGAAUUUUCCAAACUACAACAGCUCAUACAUGUAGACCUCAGAAAUAAUUUGUUAACAUCACUGCCAAUGGAAAUUGAAGUGCUUAGCAAGCUACGAAGUAUUAUCUUGUCUUUCAAUAGAUUUAAGUCUUUCCCAGAGGUGCUCUACUCCAUCUUCAGCCUGGAGACCAUUUUAAUCAGUAACAAUCAAAUAGGAGGCAUCAAUCCAGUGCGUCUUAAGAUGCUGGAUAAACUUUCCACUCUGGACCUGCAGAACAAUGACAUUAUGCAGGUGCCACCAGAACUAGGCAACUGCACCAGCCUGAGGUAUGCAUGUAAAAGAUCCAAGGCACAGAACUCUACAACACCUGGUGUAUAGCAAAGCUUUGGGUUCCAGUAGAUGUUCAGUCUUACAUCAUUGAAUGUGUAUGUGAAUGCUGAAUGUGUAGUAGGUAACCAUGCCGAUAGCAUUGUUGCUCUCCUUAGUAGCAUACAGGUAGCCAUCAUUUCCAGGUGGCUGUAAAGCAUCGACAGAUUGAAAAAUUGCAGUGGAAUAUGGGAGCUGCCAUUGCCCAGUUUUCUUCCAGUGAAUCACAACUGCACAGGUGUGGUGAGACGGGAGCUUGACAGGGGAAUGUUUCAAAUCCAGACAUCACUGAGGAACUUCAGAUUGCUCCAUUUAUCAAGUAGACGUGUUGUUUUAGCUACAGUGCAGCAUGCAGCCUAAGUAAACUGCUGCCUCCUUCUUCUCAGACCCUUCCUGGACCAUAUUUGUGUGUUGUUGAGCGAGCUUUUGGAACUUUUCCACUGCACUAAAGUAGGAAUAGGGCUCUGAUGCUUGAUGGAAACCCUUUCCGGAAUCCCAGAGCUGCAGUUGUAGCUAAGGGAAC